UCUUAUGAAUUCUAGGUCUUCU
rnacentral:miRNA from 1 species